AUUUUAGUUUUUUGUCUUUUCUUUUGCAGGUCCAGUUUGUCCAGGAUUUUAAAUUUGUCCGGUGGGAUUUGGAAAGGAAAGCGGUGCCAUGGAUUUAUAAGAAGCAUCGUUGGGGAGGUUCGUGUAUGUCGGGAUAUUUUCAUUAUACCACUACUAUUAUAAAAAGGUCGAAUUUGAGGGUCACCAUUUUGACCUUUUGCCGGGCCGGCAGCGCCACACCCAGAAUUCAGGAGGGCGAGGGGGCAUUCCGAUAUGGAAACGGCAUCAAAACAUUAUAUGUUUUUAAUGUUUUUAGGUGCCAAAAACAUCGUUUUCCGUUGCGGAUGUUUUCAGUGUACUGUUGCUGCCGGGAAAAAAGUCGAAUUCAGGGGUCAUGCUUUUGGCCUUUUGCCAGGCCAGCAGCGCCGCGCUUAGGAUUCAGAAGGACGAGGGGGCAUCCUAGCAUGGAAAUGGCAUCAAAAAAUUAUGCGUUUUUAGUGUUUUAGUUGCCAAAAACUUCGUUUUCUGUUGCGUCUAGGAUAUUGUAGUUGCUACCGGGAAAAAAGUUGAAUUUAGGGGUCACGAUUUUGGCCUUUUGCCGGGUCGGCAGCGCCGCACCAAGGGUCAAUAAAAACGAGGGUGCUUCUUGACAUGGGGACGGCAUCGAAACUUUGUGCAUUUUUAUAUAUAUUAUUAUAUAU
rnacentral:sRNA from 1 species